rnacentral:rRNA from 1 species
UACGUAGGUCCCGAGCGUUGUCCGGAUUUAUUGGGCGUAAAGCGAGCGCAGGUGGUUUAUUAAGUCUGGUGUAAAAGGCAGUGGCUCAACCAUUGUAAGCAUUGGAAACUGGUAGACUUGAGUGCAGGAGAGGAGAGUGGAAUUCCAUGUGUAGCGGUGAAAUGCGUAAAUAUAUGGAGGAACACCGGUGGCGAAAGCGGCUCUCUGGCCUGUAACUGACACUGAGGCUCGAAAGCGUGGGGAGCAAACAGG